UACGUAGGGUGCGAGCGUUGUCCGGAAUUAUUGGGCGUAAAGAGCUCGUAGGCGGUCUGUCGCGUCGGAUGUGAAACCCGGGGCUUAACCCUGGGCCUGCAUUCGAUACGGGCAGACUAGAGUUCGGUAGGGGAGACGUGGAAUUCCUGGUGUAGCGGUGAAAUGCGCAGAUAUCAGGAGGAACACCGGUGGCGAAGGCGGGUCUCUAGGCCGAUACUGACGCUGAGGAGCGAAAGCGUGGGGAGCAAACAGG
rnacentral:rRNA from 1 species